rnacentral:antisense_RNA from 1 species
CUUGACCGAGCCGAGCAGCAGUGGCCGGUCCUCCGGGCGGUCCUGGCCGUAGGUGGCGAGGAGCGCCUGGGCCUC